rnacentral:rRNA from 1 species
GACGAACGCUGGCGGCGUGCCUAAUACAUGCAAGUCGAGCGACGCGGCGGACGGGUGAGUAACACGUCAGGAACCUACCGAUAAGCGGGGGACAACAUCCGGAAACGGGUGCUUAUACCGCCUACUUAUCGCUGGCCUUGCUGUGGAUUAGCUGGUUGGUGGGGUAACGGCCUACCAAGGCAAUGAUGGCUAGCCGACCUGAGAGGGUGAGCGGCCACAUUGGGACUGAGACACGGCCCAGACUCCUACGGGAGGCAGCAGUAGGGAAUCUUCCGCAAUGGGCGCAAGCCUGACGGAGCAAUGCCGCGUGAGUGAAGAAGGUUUUCGGAUCGUAAAGCUCUGUUGUAAGAGAAGCGGUAUCUUACCAGAAAGCCCCGGCUAACUCCGUGCCAGCAGCCGCGGUAAUUC